AUUGUCAUUGUUUCAACUUUCAGCAUCAGUAUUUCCUUCUCCCCGUCGACCGUCGUUCUCCUCUGCGGCUUUGCGAGACUGCGAGUGUGUGACUGCCUCCUUUGGUCCUCCCCAUCGCCCAUCGGCUUUGUGACUGCCAACCGCCGCCUUGCCAUCACCACCGCACCAUCACCGCCGCUGCUGUCAAGCGGAUCAAUUUGCCCCAUCCAAGGUAUCUCUCUCUGGAUUGAGGACCGCCGGCCCCUCUCUCUACAUCUCUGAUCUCUCUCUGUCUAGCAGCGGUCAAAAGAAAAGAGAGAAGAAGACCGCCCAUUUGCUCAACUGGGAGAAAGAGAGAUGAAGACCGCCCAUUUGCUCAACUGGGAGAAAGAGAGAUGAAGACCACCCAUUUGGUUCAUAGAGCCAUGGCAGGGGGCAUUGGCUGAAGAAGACUGCCCCUUCUACUAAAACAAAGGUUUUCCUAGACUUUGUCAUCGAUAUCUUACAAGAGGUGAUGGCAAGAGAAAAAUCUGACUAUGGCUUGAGAUUUCAAACUAAUCAGUUGUUACCGACUAGGAGAAACAGAUGGGCACCUGAAUGAAAGACCAUUGAUCGAAACAAAGUGCUCUGUUUCUGCACACAGAAUUCCUAUCCAUAGUUGAAGCUGGAAGUGGAGGACCAAGUUCAAUCGUCUGCUGUAAAUUUUAUGUGUAAUGCUAUAAUUUGGUGUGCUUUGUUUUUUCUUUUAGAUGUUUUCAAGAUGUGUUACUUUAGUUGGUUAACCAUGACCUAAUAAUCAAUUAGACCACAAUGUUUUCUUCUGCUAA